ACGGCUCAGUAACACGUGGACAACCUACCCUCAGGAGGGGGAUAACCCCGGGAAACUGGGGAUAAUACCCCAUAGACCAGGGAUGCUGGAAUGCCUCCUGGUUCAAAGGUCCGCCGCCUGAGGAUGGGUCUGCGGCCGAUUAGGUUGUUGUUGGGGUAACGGCCCAACAAGCCUUUGAUCGGUACGGGUUGUGAGAGCAAGAGCCCGGAGAUGGAUUCUGAGACACGAAUCCAGGCCCUACGGGGCGCAGCAGGCGCGAAAACUUUACAAUGCGAGAAAUCGUGAUAAGGGAACCCCGAGUGCCCGUAAAUUCGGGCUGUCCGCCAGUGCAAAUAGCUGGUGAAGAAAGGGCCGGGCAAGACCGGUGCCAGCCGCCGCGGUAAUACCGGCGGCUCGAGUGGUGGCCACUAUUACUGGGCUUAAAGCGUCCGUAGCUUGAUUGUUAAGUCUCUUGGGAAAUCCACCGGCUCAACCGAUGGGCGUUCAGGAGAAACUGGCAAUCUAGGGACCGGGAGAGGUGAGAGGUACUCCAGGGGUAGGAGUGAAAUCCUGUAAUCCUUGGGGGACCACCUGUGGCGAAGGCGUCUCACUAGAACGGCUCCGACAGUGAGGGACGAAAGCUGGGGGAGCAAGCCGGAUUAGAUACCCGGGUAGUCCCAGCUGUAAACGAUGCGCGUUAGGUGUAUCGGUGACCACGAGUCAUCGAGGUGCCGAAGGGAAACCGUGAAACGUGCCGCCUGGGAAGUACGGUCGCAAGGCUGAAACUUAAAGGAAUUGGCGGGGGAGCAC
rnacentral:rRNA from 1 species